rnacentral:rRNA from 1 species
CAGCAGCCGCGGUAAUUCCAGCUCCAUUAGCGUAUAUUAAAGUUGUUGCAGUUAAAAAGCUCGUAGUUGGAUUUCAGUACGGGCCAGCUGGUCGGCCGCAAGGCCUGUCACUGGCUGGUCUGUUCUUCUUCUCAAAGACUGCGUGUGCUCUUCGCUGAGUGUGCGUAGAAUUUGGGACGUUUACUUUGAAAAAAUUAGAGUGUUCAAGGCAGGCUAUAUUGCUUGAAUACAUGAGCAUGGAAUAAUGGAAUAGGACUACGGUCCCUAUUUCGUUGGUUUCGAGGACCGAAGUAAUGAUUAAGAGGGACAGUUGGGGGCAUCCGUAUUUCGUAGUCAGAGGUGAAAUUCUUGGAUCUACGAAAGACGAACAACUGCGAAAGCAUUUGCCAAGAGUGUUUUCAUUAAUCAAGAACGAAAGUUAGAGGAUCGAAGACGAUCAGAUACCGUCCUAGUUCUAACCGUAAACGAUGCCGACUAGGGAUCAGUGGGUGUUAUUGUACGACCCCAUUGGCACCUCACGGGAAACCAAAGUGUUUGGGUUCCGGGGGAAGUAUAGUCGCAAGGCCGAAACUUAAAGGAAUUGACGGAAGGGCACCACCAGGAGUGGAGCCUGCGGCUUAAUUUGACUCAACACGGG